GACGAACGCUGGCGGCGUGCUUAACACAUGCAAGUCGAACGGAAAGGCCCUGCUUUUGUGGGGUGCUCGAGUGGCGAACGGGUGAGUAACACGUGUGUAACCUGCCCUUGUCUUUGGGAUAACUUCAGGAAACUGGGGCUAAUACCGGAUAGGAGCUCCUGCUGCAUGGUGGGGGUUGGAAAGUUUCGGCGGUUGGGGAUGGACUCGCGGCUUAUCAGCUUGUUGGUGGGGUAGUGGCUUACCAAGGCUUUGACGGGUAGCCGGCCUGAGAGGGUGACCGGCCACAUUGGGACUGAGAUACGGACCAGACUCCUACGGGAGGCAGCAGUGGGGAAUAUUGCACAAUGGGCGGAAGCCUGAUGCAGCAACGCCGCGUGCGGGAUGACGGCCUUCGGGUUGUGAACCGCUUUCGCCUGUGACGAAGCGUGAGUGACGGUAAUGGGUAAAGAAGCACCGGCUAACUACGUG
rnacentral:rRNA from 1 species